UACGUAGGUGGCAAGCGUUGUCCGGAAUUAUUGGGCGUAAAGCGCGCGUAGGCGGUUACUUAAGUCGGAUGUGAAAGCCCUCGGCUUAACUGAGGAAGUGCAUCCGAAACUGAGUAGCUAGAGUACGAAAGAGGGUCGCGGAAUUCCCGGUGUAGAGGUGAAAUUCGUAGAUAUCGGGAGGAACACCGGUGGCGAAGGCGGCGACCUGGGUCGAGACUGACGCUGAUGCGCGAAAGCGUGGGGAGCAAACAGG
rnacentral:rRNA from 1 species